GCAUUUGUAGAAAGGAAAGACAUUUGGCAUCUCCCUUGAUCAGGAUGGGAAGAGAUUUUGGACUUUCCAUUCACACAUGGAUAAGGCAAUCUGCAGCUGGUUGGUCUUACCCAAUAUUUGCU